AUUCGUCGGGCUUCAAAUCAAAUCAAAGGCUUUUCAUCACCACACUGCACCUCGCCGGGGAAAAGGGGAAAUCCAUGGCACUCACCGCCUGUCAUCUUCUACUUGGAUUCUCAAUUCUCCAUUUCCAAGCAUUUCCCCAGCGAAAUCCAUUGCAAAUCAUUCAAACUCCUCCACUGUAUACCCAAUCACUUCACGCGGCCAAACGCGAUUCUGUUUCUCACGAGUUUAGGACAAAAACUGGGAAAACAAACAUCGACGGCUCGUUCUCCAUGGGCUAGAGCAAGACCCUUUUCAUGACCACAAAAUUAGUACAAAGUAUGCGGGUUGUGGGGAUUUGGAAUCAGCCCACGUUCUGUUCGACAAAACGCCGCAACCAAAUGUGUUUGCUUGGACUGCAAUCCUUUCGGUUUAUUUGCGGCGUGGAAUGUCGGAUGAGUGCAUUGGGGUUUUGUUGUGAGAUGAAAGUGAAGGGUGCAGUUCCUUACAAGUACGUGUUUCCUAAGGUCUUACGGGCAUGCGUUGAUUCCUAAGUGGUCUCACAGGGCGCCAUUAGUGCACCUACUUUUCAAUGAAAAGCCCUUCAUUGUUCAAUUCCUUUUCUACUGCAUUUCCCCUGAAGCAUCAACAAAAGGACUUGUGGCUUGCUCUGGGCUUAGCCGAAUCCGUUUCCCAACCUACACCAAAUUCAGCCGCAGCAAACAAACUAUAAAAGGUGGCUAAAUCACGCGGCCUUAGUGACGAGGACUUCUUCCAGCAUCAAACUCUGACGAAGUAAAAGCUCUCAGUCCCCUUCCUUUGUCCACUGAAGGGAAGGAUGAUUAUCUCAUAUUCCUACCAUUCAAUCCCCUGGUAUCUAUCUUGGUUCUAGCUUGAGUCAUCCAAGAAAAAAAGGUGAAUUUAAUUUUUGGAGUAUUUUGGACAGAUUUUCUAGUCGUCUACAAGGGUGGAAAACCCGAUGUUGGGCUUACCCAGUCGUUGUAUUCUUGUUAAACAUACUUUAUCGAUAAUCCCUAUUUAUCUUCUCUCAGUAUUCCAGGCUCCAGCUUAUUUUGUGCAUAACAUUCAGAGUGUUGCGGGUAAGUUUCUUGUGGGAUUUAUUGGCCUAGUUGGCACAACAUGUGUAAACCAAUUAUGACAGGAGGGAUGGGCUUUCGAGAUUUGGGUUUUGUUAACCAAGAGUUGUUGGCUAUACUUGGAUGCCGGAUUCAUCAGAGUCCAUAUCUUCUUUUCAGUAAAGUCUUGAGGGCUAAAUAUGGCAGGGGAGAUUUGUUCUUGGAGGCAAAAAUUCGACCCGGUUGUUUGUGGGGUUGGCGCAGUCUUAUGUGGGGGUAAGGAGUUGUUAAAAAAAGGGUAUGA